rnacentral:misc_RNA from 1 species
GAUGAAGAACGUAGCGAAAUGCGAUAAGUAAUGUGAAUUGCAGAAUUCAGUGAAUCAUCGAAUCUUUGAACGCACCUUGCGCUCCUUGGUAUUCCGAGGAGCAUGCCUGUUUGAGUGUCAUUAAAUUCUCAACCUCACCAGUUUUCUGAACUGUUCUCCGAGGCUUGGAUGUGGGGGUUUGUGCAGGCUGCCUCAGCGCGGUCUGCUCCCCUGAAAUGCAUUAGCGAGUUCGAUACUGAGCUCCGUCUAUUGGUGUGAUAAUUAUCUACGCCGUGGAUCGGGGCUUAGACUCGCUUCUAACCGUCCGCAAGGACAAUACCUUGACAAUUUGACCUCAAAUCAGGUAGGACUACCCGCUGAACUUAAGCAUAUCGAUAAGCGGAGGA